rnacentral:misc_RNA from 1 species
UAAAUUGGGAUAUCAAAGAAAUAAUAAAAAUAAGGGUAAACUAUAAUUGUAAAACCUAUAAUUUAGUCAAUGUAAUUUUAAAAUAAAGUAAUUUAGUUUCUGAUAUUUUAAUAGCCCUACAAAUUAGUCAUUGCCAUUAGAAUUUUAAUUAAUAUGAUAUAACUUAAAGUAUGAUCUAUCUAAGUGCUAACAUAUGGAAAAAGAAGGAGGAGGAGAUAUA